rnacentral:sRNA from 1 species
CAACAACAGAAAGGAGGUGAUCUCGUGUCUCAUUGUCCGUCUCACUCGUCGUCGAGCGCCAAGGCCGAGGUCUCUUUCUUCGCGGAAGGGAUUUGGGUCCGCUAAGGACUGCGCCGUGGUGUCGACGACACACGGAUUGACAAUGGAAGGGCUGCCGGAAACGGCGGCCCU